rnacentral:sRNA from 1 species
UGCUGUCGAUAGACAUCCACCAAUGAUCUGGCCAUCUGCGAGGAUCGCCUUCGGGUGAUGGCAAAAGAAAGCUUCCGUAGCCUGAGAGGGAGCACGCCAGGUAUGGUGUGGUACAUCUGCCCGCCUUUGGGAGCAGAUAUCGCUCAUUCAACGUAGUAUUCGGAGCGGUUAAGGCUGCU